AGCAGCAGGCACGCAAAUUACCCACUCCCGGCACGGGGAGGUAGUGNCGANAAAUAACGAUACGGGACUCAUCCGAGGCCCCGUAAUCGGAAUGAGAACACUUUAAACCCUUUAACAAGUAUCCAUUGGAGGGCAAGUCUGGUGCCAGCAGCCGCGGUAAUUCCAGCUCCAAUAGCGUAUAUUAAAGCUGUUGCGGUUAAAAAGCUCGUAGUUGGACAUGUGUCCCACGCUGUCGGUUCACCGUUCGUCGGUGUUUAACUGGCAUGCACGUGUGGACGUCCUGCUGGUGGAUGCGGUCGGCGGUGGGCCUCUGGUCUGCACGUCGACGGUCCGAUGUAAUCCUACCGCGGUGCUCUUCACCGAGUGUCGAGGUGGGCCGGCACGUUUACUUUGAACAAAUUAGAGUGCUUAAAGCAGGCAGUGGUUCGCCUGAAUAUUGUGUGCAUGGAAUAAUGGAAUAGGACCUCGGUUCUAUUUUGUUGGUUUCUGGAACUUGAGGUAAUGAUUAAGAGGGACAAAUGGGGGCAUUCGUAUUGCGACGUUAGAGGUGAAAUUCUUGGAUCGUCGCAAGACGAACCUAAGCGAAAGCAUUUGCCAUGAGUGUUUUCAUUAAUCAAGAACGAAAGUUAGAGGUUCGAAGGCGAUCAGAUACCGCCCUAGUUCUAACCAUAAACGAUGCCAGCCAGCGAUCCGCCAAUGUUCCUCCGAUGACUUGGCGGGCAGCUUCCGGGAAACCAAAGCUUUUGGGUUCCGGGGGAAGUAUGGUUGCAAAGCUGAAACUUAAAGGAAUUGACGGAAGGGCACCACCAGGAGUGGAGCCUGCGGCUUAAUUUGACUCAACACGGGAAACCUCACCAGGCCCAGACACCGGAAGGAUUGACAGAUUGAGAGCUCUUUCUUGAUUCGGUGGGUGGUGGUGCAUGGCCGUUCUUAGUUGGUGGAGCGAUUG
rnacentral:rRNA from 1 species